rnacentral:rRNA from 1 species
UAUAAUUUUCAAUUUAGAAAAUUUUA